AAUGAACGUUGGCGGUGUGGAUUAGGCAUGCAAGUCGUGCGCGAAAUGUAGCAAUACAUGGAGAGCGGCGAAAGGGAGAGUAAUACAUAGGUACGUACCCUCGGGUCUGGGAUAGCGGCGGGAAACUGCCGGUAAUACCAGAUAACGUCUUCGGACCAAAGGUGUGAUUCCACCUGGGGAGCGGCCUGUGGCCUAUUAGCUAGUUGGCGAGGUAAUGGCUCACCAAGGCAAAGAUGGGUAUGGGGCGUGAGAGCGUGCCCCCACUCACUGGGACUGAGAUACUGCCCAGACACCUACGGGUGGCAG
rnacentral:rRNA from 1 species